AAGCCCUGGGCAAGGAGGAGCCUGACCGGGGGGAAGGCCUGUGGCAACCCGGGCUGCCGGCCGCUGAGUACCCAGAGGACCUGGAGGGGCCUGACGGCAGCCCGGGCCAGCGUGAGUCCGAGACCGAGGGGGAGCAGGAGUGGCCCGCAGCAGAUUAUCCGGAGGAGAUGGAGGGACCGGAGUGGCCCGCAGCGGAUUAUCCGGAGGAGAUGGAGGGACCGGAGCGCCCCGCCUGAGAGACCGGCGUUGAUCACAGCGAGCUCAGUUUUGAAGUCGAAACAGGAGUAUGUCCGGGUGUGUCACGUCUGCCAUCCCAUUCAGCAUGGCCGUCGACUGGGUGAGGCGGUGCACAGCAGAAGUCAUGCCACGAGGCGUUAAAUGGACACUGUUCUCAUCCCUUGAAGACCUGGACUUCGCAGAUGAUCUCGCUCUCCUAUCACAUACCCAACACCAUAUACAAGAAAAAACAACUCGACUCAACGCAUUCAGCCAGCAAAUUGGACUGAAAAUCAACCGCAAUAAGAGAGAGAUCAUGACCUUUAAUAUUGCCUCACCAUCCCCAGUGCAGAUCGAGGGUCAUGUUCUCACCAAUGUAGAAAUAUUCACAUACUUGGGCAGCACCAUCAGCCCGGACGGUGGAACAAGCCAGGACAUCCGGAACAAAAAAUCAAUAAAGCCAGGAACACCUUCACGGGGCUUAAAUACAGUCUGGAAAUUAUCAAGAUACAACAGCAAAACCAAACUCAAGAUUUAUCAGAGCUGCGUACUGUCAACACUACUCUGUAGUGCAGAAAGUUGGGAAUGAGAAAGUCGGACACUGUCUUCAUUCCACACAACCGGCCUCAGAAAAAUCCUCUGUAUCUUUUGGCCUAGAACAAUCUCACACCAAGAUCUAUUGACACUGUGCAGCCAAGAGGAUCUGAGCCCCAUCACUGCCAGGAGGCGUUGGAGAUGGAUCGGUCACGUGAUUCCAUCCCCAGAGUAGCAAUGAGACGGACACCUGAAGGCAAGCGAAAACAAGGCCGCCCGAAAACAACCUGGCGAAGAGCUGUGGAAGCCAAGUUGAAAACCUGGGGCAGAGCUGGGGAACCAUUGAGAGACUUGCCAGAAGCAGACAGGAGCGGAGGAGGUUCGUCGCUGCCCUGAACACCAGAGGAGUAAUAAGAACACGAUGAUGAUAAGUGUCAAAA